rnacentral:rRNA from 1 species
CUGGAAAGGCCCGCCAUAGGAGGUAACAGCCCUGUAGUCAAAACUUCGUUCUCUCCUGAGUGGAUCCUGAGUACGGCGGAACACGUGAAAUUCCGUCGGAAUCCGGGAGGACCAUCUCCCAAGGCUAAAUACUCCCUAGUGACCGAUAGUGAACCAGUACCGUGAGGGAAAGGUGAAAAGCACCCCGGAAGGGGAGUGAAAGAGAUCCUGAAACCGUGUGCCUACAAGUAGUCAGAGCCCGUUAACGGGUGAUGGCGUGCCUUUUGUAGAAUGAACCGGCGAGUUACGAUCCCGUGCAAGGUUAAGUUUGAAAAGACGGAGCCGCAGCGAAAGCGAGUCUGAAUAGGGCGCAUGAGUACGUGGUCGUAGACCCGAAACCAGGUGAUCUACCCAUGUCCAGGGUGAAGUUCAGGUAACACUGAAUGGAGGCCCGAACCCACGCACGUUGAAAAGUGCGGGGAUGAGGUGUGGGUAGGGGUGAAAUGCCAAUCGAACCUGGAGAUAGCUGGUUCUCUCCGAAAUAGCUUUAGGGCUAGCCUCAAGGUAAGAGUCUUGGAGGUAGAGCACUGAUUGGACUAGGGGCCCCUACCGGGUUACCGAAUUCAGUCAAACUCCGAAUGCCAAAGACUUAUCCUUGGGAGUCAGACUGCGAGUGAUAAGAUCCGUAGUCGAAAGGGAAACAGCCCAGACCGCCAGCUAAGGUCCCAAAGUAUACGUUAAGUGGAAAAGGAUGUGGAGUUGCUUAGACAACCAGGAUGUUGGCUUAGAAGCAGCCACCAUUUAAAGAGUGCGUAAUAGCUCACUGGUCGAGUGACUCUGCGCCGAAAAUGUACCGGGGCUAAACGUAUCACCGAAGCUGCGGACUGUUCUUACGAACAGUGGUAGGAGAGCGUUCUAAGGGCUGUGAAGCGAGACCGGAAGGACUCGUGGAGCGCUUAGAAGUGAGAAUGCCGGUAUGAGUAGCGAAAGAGGGGUGAGAAUCCCCUCCACCGAAUGCCUAAGGUUUCCUGAGGAAGGCUCGUCCGCUCAGGGUUAGUCGGGACCUAAGCCGAGGCCGAAAGGCGUAGGCGAUGGACAACAGGUUGAUAUUCCUGUACCACCUCCUCACCAUUUGAGCAAUGGGGGGACGCAGGAGGAUAGGGUAAGCGCGGUAUUGGAUAUCCGCGUCCAAGCAGUUAGGCUGGGAAAUAGGCAAAUCCGUUUCCCAUAAGGCUGAGCUGUGAUGGCGAGCGAAAUAUAGUAGCGAAGUUCCUGAUUCCACACUGCCAAGAAAAGCCUCUAGCGAGGUGAGAGGUGCCCGUACCGCAAACCGACACAGGUAGGCGAGGAGAGAAUCCUAAGGUGAUCGAGAGAACUCUCGUUAAGGAACUCGGCAAAAUG